rnacentral:rRNA from 1 species
AUCAAAAACACAGCACUCUGCAAACACGAAAGUGGACGUAUAGGGUGUGACGCCUGCCCGGUGCUGGAAGGUUAAUUGAUGGGGUCAGCCGCAAGGCGAAGCUCUUGAUCGAAGCCCCAGUAAACGGCGGCCGUAACUAUAACGGUCCUAAGGUAGCGAAAUUCCUUGUCGGGUAAGUUCCGACCUGCACGAAUGGCGUAACGACAGCGGCGCUGUCUCCACCCGAGACUCAGUGAAAU